AUGCAAAAGACUUUCAAGCCUAGUGCAAUGGCUACAAACAGACUCCUGGGUAGUGUGUGCGGCCUGUUGAUUGUAUAGGCUGCCCUAAGGGAUCCCGGAAACAGCC
ensembl:snoRNA SNORA70 Small nucleolar RNA SNORA70